rnacentral:tRNA from 1 species
ACCUGGAUAGCUCAGUUGGUUAGAGCCUGGUGCUGAUAGCACCAAGGUUGCAAGUUCAAUCCCCCUAUGGGGCA